ensembl:lncRNA
ACACUCAACAUCUUCAUUGGUGACCUAGAUGAAGAGAAAGAACACCAUCUCAACAACUUAGCUGCUGAUACAAAUCCAGGAGACCUCUAAGAAACUUCUGUGUUGUGUCAGCUGGCUUUGUUACAAGUGGAGGAGAAGGAGCAGCAGUAUUCCCUGGGCUUCUUGACUGCAGGGUAAAUCCUGUGUGACAGUCACUGCUCCUCCAGGAGAGCUGCAGCUGUGCAGAUAAGAAAGGCACGUGUGCUCCUGGGAGAACCUCUGUGGGAAGCAGAGGCCUCAAUGAAAGUGGAGCUCUCAGAAGAAAGGGGCCUGGGAUACGUGCCAUGCAGACGAACCAGAAAACAGUGAGAUAUCCCAAUUCCAGAGUGAGCUCAACUUUUCUUCCAUUACAGACCUCAUAGCCUGAAGUGGUUCCUGGUUUAAUCUGAGGCCUCCUCCAGCAACACUGCAGUGGCAUUCAUCUUGACUUGUGUUUGCAAGCUCAGGCUUGGCAGCACUGUCUGGAAAAGUUUUGCUGCUGCCGUAAUGCCAUGGGAGAAUGAUGGGGAAAAUGUAGGCUGCUAAAAAUUAAAUGGAUGAAUAAUGAAAACAAGCUGAUUAAAUUCUGCAACCUCUUCAGCUUCAUGGCUCUAGGGUGGCUUAUGUCCUGUUAAAAUGAAUGGAUCCUGCAAGCUGGGCUUGGAAGACGAAAAUUAGAGUUUGAUAACAGAAGAAAAAAGCAAGCAGUGCCCAAUGAAAGAUGGCACAAAUAACUGAAGAAAAAUGGAUAUCGUAUUUUAGUCAUCUGGUGUUCCAUUAUGAUGAUCUGCCUUAUUAUUUGAUGGGUAGAAUAUGAUAAGCACUGACAGAGAAGGUUUUAUAUAAUGCAGACAACUUCUUUCUGCCUAGGUAUGUGUUGUUGUUUAAAGCAAGCUUGAAGGAUACCAAGACAGAGUACUUUUCAGGAUGAACAGUGUGUAUGUCCAAAUCUAAAAUAUGUUAGAUAUAACAGGACAAAAUUUCUAUUCUGUCUUACUUCAAAAUUCCUGAGGUGCAAAGGGUCUUUAAGAAAUGUAUGAAAGAGAAAAUAUUUCAACACUUCAACAGCUUGCCAGCUGUUUCCUUUUAGUGCAGACUUACUUUCACAAAGAUUAGAGCAUAUGAAUCCAUAUAAUAAGGGAGAUGGGGGGAAGAGUAAAUGCAAACCAAGAAACAUUCUGCAGGUUCUUGUUUUCACAUAUGUGAAUAUACAGGAGGUAUGUGAUGUUUUGUCUCUGUCCUUUGGUAAAAGAUAUGCCAGGCUGGAGAAGCUUUAACUUCUCCAGCGAAUCUCAAAGACCCUGCAUGAUGGCAGUCCCUUGAAAUAUGUACCUACUGUGACUGCAGCUGGAGUCAGCACAUAAAUUCAGUUGGAGACCUGACUUUGGCAUUAGCUUGCCAGGCUUGAUAAGUCCCAUGGAGGACAAUGUAGUGAGAACGUUCUGUCACAAAUUCUCUUGGGAUUCUUGAGGCUCAGAUGUGCUCUUGGCUACAGGAAGGCCAGUGAGCCAUUAAAGAUGCAGAAGGACAGCUGGUUCUGCUGGCUCAGGUAAGAGGUGCAGGACAUGGGAAGUCCCCUAAGGCAUCCCAGAAUGCAGGAAUCGCUGAUGUCUGUAUUUCAUGUUAGCACAUAAGCUGGUAACACUGGUUUCACAAACAUCAAAAUGAAAUGCACACAGAGAAAAGAGAGAAAAACUACCUUUGAUGGAGACCAGACACAGUAAUGAAUGAUUACUCUCAGUUGAUAGUUUAUAUGAUCUUCUGCCUCUUCUUGGCUCUAAAGGACUCUGCAAAAAUAUACUCUGCAUAUGGAAAUGGUAUAUGUGUAGCUAUGACAGUAAGCCAGAGUAAACUUCCCUUGUCCUUCAUAAAGUGUGGGAAAAAUCAUCGUUCUGAAAGAAAUCUGUGCAUGUUCUGAGCUGGUAAUGUCAUUACCAAAAGAAGAGUUCAGGCAGAGUAGAAAUGUACUUACAUAUUUACACUUAUCAAGUGAAUGCACUCGGAGAUACACACCAGCACUGCAGAAGUAGACACUUGGUUGUGAAAAAGGAUGAUGAAGCUACUGCUCGGAAGGUCUGGGGACAGAGAAGAAUUUGAUGUAAUGAACUAAAACAUUUCAUGAAAUUGUCAGUGUUGUUUCUUAUCUCUUAUAUUAUGAACAUAGCUAGUAUCCCACGUGAGAAAUUCUGGCCAGGCAGGAGACAUUAAGCAGUGUAAUAGCUCAGAUAUUAAGUAUCUGAAGAGGGGAAUUAAGGAAUAUGGCUUAAAAACAGAAGAGUGAGAGGAGCUGAAAUUUUCCAGUAAGAACCAGAGCAGUAGAGGGACUUCACUGAGUUCAGUCCCCUAUCAUUUCUGGCAGUCACGUCAUGUAACCCCACAGGUUAACAACUGAUCAAGCGCUAUUUUACCGCUAAUUAGAUUUAUUUAUUUAUCUAUUGCCCCUAUAUCUCCAAGUAGGCAUUUAUUCCAGAUCUUCACUGCAAUAAUAUCUAGAAAUCUUAUAAUUAUCGGUAUAAGCUUUUUUAUAACCAGGUUGUAUUCAUUCCUUAACAUAAAUAAAACUUUU